CCACACAGCGCCCUGCAAACCUGCUGAGUGCUUUCACAUGGUCCCAUGUGAGACCCACGGCCGAUGCCAAACACUCCUGUCCGAAACUGUUUUCAGAGUCAGCUUCAUCUCUAAGCCCCUCCUCGCCCCAGGGUCAAGAGCAUCAAUCAAGAGGGUGGUGGUGGUGGGGUGACAGGAAAGAAUAAAAAGCUCAGCAGCUCAACACAGAGAAGCACCUCCCCUCCCACGGUGAAGGUGUAAAGCAGAAGGCUGGCCAAGGACCAAGCUUCAAGAAAAUGUGAAACUCUGCACGAGGAUGCUAGCACGUACGAUUCCUGGCUUCUUGGGAAAUCUCACGCACAAAACUGCCUUUCUCCUCUGCACUGACCGAAUCCACAGUGAGACACCGUGAGGGACAAACUCAGGGAUCGAACUUGGGUCCUUGCACUUGCGCAGCAGGCGGCGAAACCACUAAGCUAAAUCCCCGGCCCAGAUGAAUUCUUAAGAAGUGCUUCAAAAUGUACAUGUCAAGUGGGUUUUUCUUUGCUUUUUUCUUGUUUGGUACUAGGGGAUUGAAUCCAGGGCCUUCCUAUUGAGCUACAUCUCCACCCUUCAAAAUAAUUUUUAAGUUUUGAGACAGCAUCUCACUAAAUUGUUAAAUUGCCUAGGCUGAUCUUGAACUUGUAAUCCUCCUGCCUCAGCCUCCUAGAGUGCUGCAAUCACAGGCAUGUGCCACCUUGCCCAGCUAACUAACUCUUUCUUAACAGACUCCUUAACUUACUUUCUAAAUCUGACUUACAACUAACAGGCAGAUCAUCCUAUAUAUAAUUAUUUCAUUUUACAGGUGAAAUUUGGAGGAAGGAUGGGAGAAAAAAGGAAAGAUUUCCAUUUCCUUUUAUUUAAAUUUGCAAUUCAUUUCUAU
rnacentral:lncRNA from 1 species